rnacentral:ncRNA from 1 species
AUAACAAGUUGCCAGCGACAAAUCCCUCGGUAGGGAAAGCUCGCUUUACAGCAGACUAGCUGGACCAACUGGCC